CAAGUCGAGGGGCAGCACAUAUAAGCUUGCUUAUAGGGUGGCGACCGGCGCACGGGUGCGUAACGCGUAUACAAUCUACCUUAUGCUGAGGGAUAGCCCAGAGAAAUUUGGAUUAACCCCUCAUGGUAUUAGAGGAUGGCAUCAUUUUUUAAUUAAAGGUUACGGCAUAAGAUGAGUAUGCGUCCCAUUAGCUAGUUGGUAGGGUAACGGCUUACCAAGGCUACGAUGGGUAGGGGUCCUGAGAGGGAGAUCCCCCACACUGGUACUGAGACACGGACCAGACUCCUACGGGAAGCAGCAGUGAGGAAUAUUGGACAAUGGGCGGAAGCCUGAUCCAGCCAUGCCGCGUGCAGGAAGACGGCCCUAUGGGUUGUAAACUGCUUUUAAACGGGAAGAAUAAGGCCUACGUGUAGGUUGAUGACGGUACCGUAAGAAUAAGGACCGGCUAACUCCGUGCCAGCAGCCGCGGUAAUACGGAGGGUCCGAGCGUUAUCCGGAAUUAUUGGGUUUAAAGGGUCCGUAGGCGGGCUAUUAAGUCAGGGGUGAAAGUUUGCAGCUCAACUGUAAAAUUGCCUUUGAUACUGGUAGUCUUGAGUUGUAUUGAAGUGGCUGGAAUAUGUAGUGUAGCGGUGAAAUGCAUAGAUAUUACAUAGAACACCCGAUUGCGAAGGCAGGUCACUAAGUACACACUGACGCUGAUGGACGAAAGCGUGGGGAGCGAACAGGAUUAGAUACCCUGGUAGUCCACGCCGUAAAC
rnacentral:rRNA from 1 species